AAUACAUGGUACAGUGGUACAAAGUGGUUAAAAUCCCAAGAAACUGAUGGUUAGGACUGAUUUUAGAGAUGAACCCUUGCCCUAUGAUUUUAGGUUAUUAGGGUUUGUUCGGGUUUAGAGUUGGUAAGAACGUAGUUCCAGGUUCAGUAGAGGAUGCUGAGCAACAUGUACUACUAAACUAGUCGCGUCCCAUGCAUUGAGCGUUGUUACAGGAUAUAAACACAACAGCAUCAGAAUGAGAACAAGGAGCGUCUCGCUGCAGCCUGCGGUGGACAUCCAACCCGGCCCACAUCCAAGUGUGACGUCACAGACCACGCCCAUGUCAAAAUACGUCACAUUCUCAAUCAUUUUGAAACAGGAAGAAGCAUCGAUAAGAAGAUAAUUUGUAUUGUUUGCCAACCGCUAAAAAAGAAGCUGUUGUUUGCCGUGUCGGUAAGUAAAAAAAAAUAUCUUUGCUCUUUACCAAACGUUGACAACUUUAAGAACGUGUGCGUCAUUUGUGUGCAUGUGCAUAAACAACACAUUCUACACAUUUUCAGUCCAAGCCUGAUGCAGGGCAGUUCUCCCGGGUUAAGGGGUCCCUGCUGCAGUUUCACCAGUAAAGAAAAUUACUUGUUACAGUUCACUUGAAGGACCACAUAAGCCAUGCAGUGGUGCAUGGAGGAGCGCCAAGAGGACAGGAAGUGGAAGUUUGUAAGGGACAUUGGUCCAGCGUGGUACAGAGUCAUCGUGGGUUAUUCUGUGGGGAGGUGACAGGGCCUGCCUUUCUCCAGAUGGACAGUAAAAAUCAACAGAAUGCCAUCAAAGACUACCUGGAGGGAGAAUCGGAGGAUAUAUUAAAGCAAGGAAUCUCUCUGUGUAGUCUAUGUAUGUAUGUGUGUGUACUGCAUGUCAAGAACUGUUUAUCUGAUCAUUCAGCUGCUCAGACUUUAUAAUAUUUGGAGCAUACCUUUUGUUAAACACAACCAGUCAAGUUUUUGAACAGUGAGAUUUUUUAAUGUUUUUAAAGAAAUAUCUUCUGCUCAUCAAGCCUGCAUUUAUCUAAUCUGAAGUACAGCAAAAACAGUCCAAUUUUAAAAUAUUUGUAUAAUAUUUUGCUUUUGUAAUAUAUUUUGCUAUUUAAAAUAACAAUUUUCUAUAUUUCUAUUAAAAUGAAAUUUAUUCCUGUGAUUUCAAAGGUGACUUACUCCAGUCACAUGAUCCUUCAUUCUAAUAUGCUGAUUUGAUGCUAAAAAAACAUUUGAUUAUUAUUAUGUUAAUACACUGAAGACUGGAGUAAUGAUGCAGAAAAUUCAGCUUUGAUCACAGGAAUAAACUGCAUUUUAAAAUACAUUCAAAUAGAAAGCAGUUCUUUUAAAUUCAAAAAAUAUUUCACAUUACUGUUUUUGCUGUGUUUUGGAAAACUGCAUUUUAAAAUACAUUCAAAUAGAAAGCAGUUCUUUUAAAUUGUAAAAAUAUUUCACAUUACUGUUUUUGCUGUGUUUUGGAUCAAAUAAAUGCUGGCUUGGUGAGCAGAAGAGACUUAAAAAAUAAUAAAAAUCUUACUGUUCAAAAACUGGUGGUGUAUAUUAUUAUUAUUAUUAUUAUUAUUAUUAUUAUUUUAUUUUUUUUUUUUUGUUUAAAUUUUAUUAUUAUGUUAAUACACUGAAGACUGGAGUAAUGAUGAAGAAAAUUCAGCUUUGAUCACAGGAAUAAACUGCAUUUUAAAAUACAUUCAAAUAGAAAGCAGUUCUUUUUAAUUGUAAAAAUAUUUCACAUUACUGUUUUUGCUUUGUUUUGGAUCAAAUAAAUGCUGGCUUGGUGAGCAGAAGAGACUUUAAAAAAUAAUAAAAAUCUUACUGUUCAAAAACUGUUGGUGUAUAUUAUUAUUUAUUUAUUUAUUUAUUUAUUGUAAAAUUGUACAUGUAAUUAUUUUUGUAAAAUAAUAAAUAUAAAAAUACCCAAUGAAACAAUGGAUGCCUUUUUCAUUCAUCUUUAAGUAUGUGGAGGACCUGGACAUGUUUCAUAUCAAGUUGUGAUGAACAAGCCUAAUUAUGUGUAGCCUACUGCAUAUGGGGAACUGUUGAUUCUAUCAUUCAAAUGUUAACACUUUAUGAUAAGUGGAAUAAAUCUUUAGAAAAUUAAAUGACAAUUAUACAAUACCAACUUUUACAAUAAUUUUGC
rnacentral:lncRNA from 1 species